UAAAUACAUCAUGAUUGCUUAAAAAAAUAAAAAUAAAAACAAUCUAUUUGAAUGAAUAACCAUUAUUUAUAACUAAAAUUUAUGUAUAUAUAUCUAGACAUUAUAUUUUUAAUGUAUUUUUACUGCUAACAAACAUAUUUUAAAUAAUUUAGUAAAAUCUAAAAUUUUUGUUCUGGUCGAUAUUAAUAUAGUUAUUUAAUUUUAACCAUGAAUACAAAUUUACAUAGAAAUUAUUUGUAUAAAUACUUAGUUUGAUGUUAUUUCAUUAAUGCAAUUAACUAUAUUAAUGAAUCAUUUAAAUACAUUUAAAUUAUAAAAACUUGUUUGAGUAUUUAACGUUAAUUAAAUGGUGCAAAAAAGAUAUUUUUUUAAAGAAAUAGCAAAGAAAAAUAAAUUAGAAUGUCAAAUAAAAGCAAGAAAAGAUUUUCUCAAGUCGAAAAUAUACAUUGAUCAUUUAGCGAAAUCGAAAAGAAAGGCUAUUCUUAAAAUCAAGAAACAAGAUAUAAUUGGGCCAACUUGGUACCAUGAACUAUCGAAUAACCAGUCGAAUAUAUAAAAACAAAGGCCCAAAAGUCAGUAAAUUAUUUAUCACCAUUUAUAAUGUCACCUGAAAUAUCUUUUAAAAAAUGGCUGAGCCAAAAAAAAUAGAUGCAGUCAAUUUACGUGUAAAGCAGAAAAAACAAAGAGAACGUCUGAAAAAUAAACAAAAUCACUAUAAAGAUACAAAAAUAAAUGAAAUGAAAUUUAAAUCCAAUGUUGACGAUUUUACUCAUCCGUUAGAUAAACUGUUUUACAAACCUGUCUUAAACAAGGCUUUUGAAACUGAAGCAAAAUUGCCCAAAGUUAUUUUGGAGAAAAAAAUUAAACUUUAUACUAACGAAAAAAAAAUACCAAUAAAAACUUCGAUUGAAACAAACAAACAAAAUUUCGAUUCAGAAGUUAAAGAUAACAUUAUCUUGAAAAUGAAAAUCAACGGAAUUAUUCUGACUCACUUAAUUCUUUCAUAAUUGGAAACUCUUCAUAUCACCUAUCAAGUUUAAGUGAUAUAAAUCACAAUGCCAGGUGUCUAAAAAACGUCCAAUAUGCUGCUCUAACCAAGUCAAGGAUAACAGAUGUUGAGUUUGAUGAAGUAGAAGAAGAGUUAGAUAUUGAGGAGGAGAUAGAAGACGAAGACUUUUCAUUUAUGAAUGACCAAGACACUAGUAGUGAGGACGAUAAUACGUUUUGUAAACAUGCCAAUGAAAAGCAAUUAGAUUAUUUAGUGGGUUAUAAAAUAGCACAUUAAAAUCGAACGUCUUUCAUUGGUAAUAUUUUGAAAGGUCAAUCAAAAUCAGAAGCUAUGAUAAUACAUUAUUUCAAUAACCUAAAUAGUGUGUUGAUGGAUUCAAACCUCACAAAUUUAAGCCACCAUCAAGAAAAUAAAAAUAAUCAAGUGAAAACUCCGUUCACAUAUAUGACAAAAUAUUAAAUGAAAUUCGACAACUUUCACCUUGUACACAAUUAAAAGCUGUGCUAGAAUUUUUAUCCAUAAUAGGUGAUCCUAUAGCUGGGCUACCAAAACUAACGGAAUUAGAGUUAUUGAAAUGUUGGUAUCAAUCGAGUAUGUCUGACGGUAAUUAUCAUCUAACAAAAAAACAAAAAGAAAAAUUGCUAAAAAGCUCUAUGUUUAUGUGGUAUGCAUCUAGGCUAGAAACGCGAACUGCUCCUUUAAAACCAUUUUCUUACGGCGAUAAAAAUUGUGUCAUAAAACUUACAUGGGAUAAUAAGAAAACGGUUUUAAAAAGAAUAAAGGCUAUUAAAACUGAUUAUGAACGAAACAUUAGAGCUUUGUGUUUAAACAACGCUAAAAAUUUGUAUACUACGUUAAAAACUAUACAUUAUAAAAAUAAGCUAAAUCAAGAAUUCAAGAAAACGUUUUAUUGUUACUAUCCCGCUAAAGAAGAUGAUAUUAUUUUUGUAAAUGUUCCCCAAAUCACACUUAUAAAAAAGAAUAAAU